GACGGAGGAUGCAAGUGUUAUCCGGAAUCACUGGGCGUAAAGCGUCUGUAGGUGGUUCGAAAAGUCCACUGUUAAAAAUUGAGGCUUAACUUCAAAGAUGCCGUGGAAACGUUUCAAACUAGAGUAUGGUAGGGGUAGAGGGAAUUUCCAGUGGAGCGGUGAAAUGCGUAGAUAUCGGAAGGAACACCUGUGGCGAAAGCGGCUCACUGGACCAUUACUGACGCUGAGGCACGAAAGCUAGGGGAGCAAACAGG
rnacentral:rRNA from 1 species